ACACGAUGUUCAAAUAAUUCGAAAUAACGAUAGACCAAAAGCUGUUUAAACGAGACACAAGAAUUAAUCGUGCAUUUUAUUAAAAAGUUAAGUACGAAUAAAAGAAAGAAAAAUUUCGAACUUUUUUCGAAAGAACAUACAUUUAUUAUACAACAUACAUACAUUUAUUAUAUAUUGUGUUCUUUCAAACACAAUAAUACCUUCCAUAAAGGAGCACAGCCCAGAUGAGACUUUUUAUAGUUAAACUUUUAACGUACUCAUAGAAACGAAAUUUUUUUUUUUAAAUAGAACUGUUACAUUUUACGACACGUAUAACAUCGAACAUUUACCAACAUAGCGAUGCCAGCGUACAUAUAUAUAUACUGGUGUACUGGUCAUCUUUUUUCCACACGUUUUUAGCUUCUCAGCUGUUUGUGAAUGGGCGCCUAAUCAGCCAAUCAGAAAUGGCCGGUAUUCUAUGAAUCCUUUUCUUCAAUGCUCGAAGAGCUGGAUAUUUAUCCAAAGCUGGUGCCCCAAACAUAUACUCGUAAUUUUCAAGGGCCGCUGCAAAUACGAAGUCCGCCCAUGUCGUCUGAAAAAAGGAUUCUCCUCCAUGCGAUAGUAGCAGAUAUCUGAAACGUAUAUGAAACCAACCGUUACGUUCAUUUGUGUUUUUCCCCCCAAACGAAGAGAAAAUAAGGUGUGAAAGAAGGAGUAGCCUCUCAUAGUUCCUACAAUUUCUUCAUUCUCUUUGCUUUCUUCAAUAUUGCCUCAACAAGUUCCUGUGGUUCACGAUACUUGAAAUAUAUACAAUGUUACCAGCGUGGAAAUUGUCUUGGAAACUUGGAAAAUCUUUCAAGAGGAACAACAUUGCUAACUGAGAUUCGAGAAAGGAAAUUACCAAGAAUGUCGAGAUAUAAACAACCAUUUGUGGAAAGGUCAGGAGAAGCAGAAUUAUCGAAUAAACGUUAUAUAACUCUUAGUGAUUAAGUAAGAGAAGAGAAACGAGAAAAAAGUCUUUUAUCUAGGUCUUAAUAAAGUAUACUAUAUUUAUCUCCAUAUCAAGAAUAACAACAAGAUAUAAACAGUCUUCUAGAAAUUGAACUCUUUGCAUCUUCUAUACAGGUAUCUCAUGAUCAUGUGAUAACACACAGGAAGAAAAAAUAGAGGAAAAAACAGCGUAAAAAAAAGUUGCGUAGGAGUAUCGUCGCACUACAUCAUUCGACAAUUGAUGCACGUCAUGGCGAUCGUCACGGUUUAAAGCAGGCCAUCAAAAACACGUUUGUUAUCGUACGGAAAAAUCUGCGACGUUCCAGCUGUUCAGGUGCAUCGAAUUGUGAAUCAUCGGCGGUACGAAGCAAGGCGAGGGGCGUAAAUAGAGAAAGAAGAGAAGAGAAGGAUUCGCAUAAAUGAUAAAAUAUAAUCGUUCGUUCCUCGUCGAUGGCGGAUGGAUGGCUUUAAUCGUGGACGAUAUCGAUACGAUUAUAUUUUAUACAUUUGAAACAAAUAUAAAAGACGAGCAAAAACCAGAGAUACGAUCGUUAUGAUAUUAUUCAAUCGGUAGCCUAUUUACCUCGUUUUUUGUUCACCUUCUCUGUCUAGUAAUAAUUUUUCGAUUCGACUGGCGUGACGUUACGUUGGCGGUGUAGAAACACGAUUUUAAACACCUGCGGAUAGUUGCAUGAGUUUCGAGCGAUUCCAUUCCCUUCGAUUUAUAUUUAUGCGAUCAACGCGCGGAUCGUUAACGCAUUAUGCAGACAGCAGAUGUUACGUAAUCACACAUAUCGUAAUUGGAAAUUAGUAACGUUAUCGCGUACCAGGAUCUUCCUGUCUUUGAUCAUCGAGUAACACUUCGUUAGACAGGGAUUUGCAAAGAAUAAAAGUUGUAGAACGUUGAAAGGCGUUGAGAGAAACGUGAUGUUAUCCCGUUAUUCGUUAACGCAACGCAGUUAAAAAAAAUCCCGUAGGAAGAUUACGAUAAUAGAUAACCUGAGUCGAGUGUUUGUCGGGGGAUCUAAAAGAUUCUUUCGAGUUGAGCGUCUGAGAUUGCAGAGAAGAAAAUUUGGAAGCCAUCGAAUUCGUGAUGUCGAUAGAAAUCUUCAGUUGGAAUCGUUGUAUCAUAACGUAGUCUGCUUAUUGUCGAUAAGACUUUACUAAACUAAAAGUGACUACUAAAAGUUUCUAUCCUCUAAAUUCUAUCUACGAUUCUAUAAUCUAAAAACUGACUUUUGCAAACAAACUGUAACAUUCGCUUAACGGAAAGACAUACGUAUCUUGUUUGUACUCGUCUUUUCACAAUGAAUUCUUGAACGUCUGUCUCUGUGGUGAGACAAAUGCAAAGUCAUCUCAUCAGUUACUCACCUUGCUUCAAAUCUCCAAGAGUAUCGACGAGCUCGUCGCAUAUCAUCGCAUCCCAUUCGUCCUUUCCCAUUAGAUCGUACUUCCUCGCCAAGUAUCGCGCCACAGCGUUACUCUGCGCUACCGGUUUCCCGUCUAUCUCCAGCACAGGCAGCUUUUUAUAAGGCAUUGCUAAGAACAAACAUGGCUCAUAUGAACACUGUGUAGAGGGAAACGAUCGAUAGGAAAUCACAACACAGCUUCCGAGGCCGUUGCGUUCUUGUGAAUAGAUGAAUCGAAAUCAUUUCGGUUUUAAUCAACAUGACCUAGUAAAGAAAUACAGAAAUGUCUUCUUUCUCCUUUUUUUCUUUUCUUACGAUUACGAUGGACAGGGUAUCGCGUGUUUUUGACUGUUGGGAAGAACCUAAAGUUUUUAAAAUCAAGGAUAAAAGAUAAUACCAGACACGGAAAAAAUAUUAGAAAAUGUACACGGUUCUUGUAAUGAAAAUUGAAAUGCAAGGAAUAUAAAUCGAAUGUCUCUUGCGAACGUAAUUUUGUGUUUUACACCGACAGGAUUGAUUUACAGACUUACGUUGAUUUUUUGUUUCUCUAUCUGCAAGCGACAUAUAAGAUUAUAUCGAAGACUAUUUACGAUAGAAAUGUCGCAACGGAAGAUCGAAUUUUAUGUCUGCUUUGUUCUUUCUACUUUUUAGCUAUGUUCUUGUUCAUUUUCGAACUGAUUUCAAUUUUUUAUCCUUUUUUUCCGACAAGUCCUAAAAAGUUUUUAAAUUAACGAGAAACGUAGAAGUAUUUUUGUAUUCCUAUUUUAAGUCACCUAUUUACGGUUUUCUCAAAAUAUUCGAAAUGCUUCGAUUCAUUGAAAACAAUAAAGAUUGCAACACAAAAAUUCGAGAAUCGUAAGUGAAUUAAGUUGGUAUUCGAUGAACACGAUAUUACGGAAGCAAAACUUAAUGAAAAGUUCGACUUUAUUCCGUAUGAAAUUUUACUUUAAGUAAGUUUAGCCUGCACGUGAAACGAAAGUUUUAUAUACAGAAAAGUUUGAGUAAAUGGCAGAUAUCUGAGAGUUGAACGAUGAAAGUAAAAAUCGAUUCUUCACGCUUACAAUCCUUGUAUUCAGGCCAGAGUUCUUCGGGGAUCCUCUCGUCGGUAUACUCGAUGCCAGUAUAUGCAAAUAUGUACCGUAUAUGUUCGGCACGACCACGGGCAUUGAAGUAGAUUAGUUUGUAGGUAUGUUCGUCGCUCAUUUUCCUUGCUCUGUCAACUUAUCGAGAAAAAUGUUACAAUUAACUCGUGUAAUUAACAGACUGUGUGCGUGUUUGUGUGUAGAGAGAACAAUUUAUUUAUAGAUGGAAUAAUUCGUAUAAUACGCAAAAUAAAUCAUUUAGAAGGCUGGAAUAUAUGUUUUUGAAACAAUUAAUUAUGUCGAAAAAUAUUUCAAACGAGAUAUAAUUAUGAAAAAAAUAAUAAUUAAAUGUAUGUAAAUGUAUGUAAUAAUAGUUAAAUGUAUGUAAAUGUAAUAAUUAAAUGUAAUUAGUUGUGAAAAAAAUAAUAAUAAAAAAUAAAUAAAUGUAAAAAAAGAAUUAAAUGUAA